rnacentral:rRNA from 1 species
GAUGAACGCUGGCGGCGUGCUUAACGCAUGCAAGUCGAACGAUGAAGCUGGAGCUUGCUCCGGUGGGUUAGUGGCGAACGGGUGAGUAACACGUGAGUAAUCUGCCCUUGACUCUGGGAUAACUGCGGGAAACUGUAGCUAAUACCGGAUACGACACCUUCGGGCAUCCGAUGGGUGUGGAAAGAAUUUCGGUCAAGGAUGAACUCGCGGCCUAUCGGCUAGUUGGUGAGGUAAUGGCUCACCAAGGCGACGACGGAUAGCCGGCCUGAGAGGGUGACCGGCCAGACUGGGACUGAGACACGGCCCAGACUCCUGCGGGAGGCAGCAGUGGGGAAUAUUGCACAAUGGGCGAAAGCCUGGUGCAGCAACGCCGCGUGAGGGAUGAAGGCCUUCGGGUUGUAAACCUCUUUUAGUUGGGAAGAAGCGAAAGUGACGGUACCAACAGAAAAAGCACCGGCUAACUACGUGCCAGCCGCCGCCGUAA